rnacentral:rRNA from 1 species
UACGUAGGAUGCAAGCGUUGUCCGGAAUUACUGGGCGUAAAGCGUGCGCAGGCGGUUUUGUAAGUUUGUCGUGAAAGCCCCGGGCUCAACCUGGGAAUUGCGAUGAAGACUGCAAGGCUUGAAUCUGGCAGAGGGGGGUAGAAUUCCACGUGUAGCAGUGAAAUGCGUAGAGAUGUGGAGGAACACCGAUGGCGAAGGCAGCCCCCCUGGGUCAAGAUUGACGCUCAUGCACGAAAGCGUGGGGGAGCAAACAGG